rnacentral:rRNA from 1 species
CGCGUAGGUGGUUUGUAAAGUCAUUUGUGAAAACUUUAGGCUUAACUUAAAGACUGCAAGUGAUACUGACAAACUUGAGUACAGUAGAGGAAAGUGGAAUUCCUGGUGUAGCGGUGAAAUGCGCAGAUAUCAGGAAGAACACCAGUGGCGAAGGCGGCUUUCUGGGCUGUUACUGACACUGAGGCGCGAAGCUAGGGGAGCGAACA